rnacentral:tRNA from 1 species
GACCUCGUAGCUCAGUUGGCAGAGCAUUGGACUAGUAUCCCAAAUGUCGCGGGUUCGAUUCCCACCGUGUUCA